rnacentral:rRNA from 1 species
AACGAACGCUGGCGGCAUGCCUAACACAUGCAAGUCGAACGAGACCUUCGGGUCUAGUGGCGCACGGGUGCGUAACGCGUGGGAACCUGCCUUUAGGUUCGGAAUAACAGAUAGAAAUGACUGCUAAUGCCGAAUAAUGUCUUCGGACCAAAGAUUUAUCGCCUUAAGAUGGGCCCGCGUUGGAUUAGCUAGUUGGUGAGGUAAAGGCUCACCAAGGCGACGAUCCAUAGCUGGUCUUAGAGGAUGAUCAGCCACACUGGGACUGAGACACGGCCCAGACUCCUACGGGAGGCAGCAGUGGGGAAUAUUGGACAAUGGGCGAAAGCCUGAUCCAGCAAUGCCGCGUGAGUGAUGAAGGCCUUAGGGUUGUAAAGCUCUUUUACCAGGGAUGAUAAUGACAGUACCUGGAGAAUAAGCUCCGGCUAACUCCGUG